UGAGUGGUCUGGGAACGUAACAGGAUUGAA
rnacentral:piRNA from 1 species